AGUGAACGCUGGCGGUAGGCCUAACACAUGCAAGUCGAACGGCAGCACAGUAAGAGCUUGCUCUUACGGGUGGCGAGUGGCGGACGGGUGAGGAAUACAGCGGAAUCUACUUUUUCGCGGGGGAUAACGUAGGUAAACUUACGCUAAUACCGCAUCCGACCUACGGGUGAAAGCAGGGGCUCUUCGGACCUUGCGCGAUUGCAUGAGCCGAUGUCGGAUUGGCUAGUUGGCGGGGUAAAGGCCCACCACGGCGACGAUCCGUAGCUGGUCUGAGAGGAUGGUCAGCCACACUGGAACUGAGCCACGGUCCAGACUCCUACGGGAGGCAGCAGUGGGGAAUAUUGGACAAUGGGCGCAAGCCUGAUCCAGCCAUGCCGCGUGGGUGAAGAAGGCCUUCGGGUUGUAAAGCCCUUUUGUUGGGAAAGAAAAGCAGCAGGUUAAUACCCCGCUGUUCUGACGGUACCCAAAGAAUAAGCACCGGCUAACUUCGUG
rnacentral:rRNA from 1 species